AGACACACAGUAUUAACAAUAAACAAUAAACAAAACAAAUACAAAGCACACACACCAAAACAGUCUCCAAAGAAAAGUUAACACAGAAUUAAACACACAAUAGUCGGGAAAAGAAGGUACAUAGAAAAAGAACAGAAAAUAGGUGGAUAACAUAAAUAAUAAAGUAAAAACAAAAACGAAAAAAAAACUGACUAGUGAAGCUAGUCAGUUUUGGAUAUAAUGUCCCUAAUUGCAGAUUUAUAUUUCUGAAGAGAGAGAUGAAAAAUGUCGUAAUUUGAAAAUUGCUGAUUGAACUGGUUGCAACUUCUUCUGAUAAAUGUGUUGGUAGCAUGUUUUCAACCAAAAUGUAAAUCGGG